GCCUCUCAAUAUGCUGUGAUUACAGGCAUGAGCCACUGUGCCUGGCUGUCCAGAAACUUUCCUUGUAACCCCAAACUGGACAUUGAAUUUGUGGGUGGAGAGGGUGAAAUAAGUUAGAGACUUUUACAGAGCACGGGAGGUGGGGAAGGCAGAGUGAGAACUAAUGUGGUUAAAGGUUGACUGUGUGAAGGGCACCAUGCCACGCGCUAGCUAUUACCUUCAGUCCUCACAAAAACCAGGUGAGAUGUUUAUUAUAAUAAUUAUCAUCAUCACCAUUUGACAGAGUGAGACAAGCUCAGAGUAUAUGACAUCAUGGCCUCAAAUCACAAGCCAGUAUGUGACAGAUAUAAAACUAGAGCUGACACCAGGGGUCCCAUGGACAGAGUUGGCUUCUUUUGGAUGAUUCAUCCGUUCAACUGUGAGCUCUUGACAGCAAUGUGAAGCAAGAAGUGCAUGUUAUUAUUAUCCUCAUUUUAUAGUUGAGAAAAAUGAUGCUCAUUAAAGUCAAGAAACCAGCCCAAAGUCACACAGCCUGUAAGUGAGUGGCAGAGCCAGGUAUGGUUUUAAGGUCUCUUGUCUCUCCAUAGAAUGUUCUUUUCUGUACACUGUUGUAGAGGAGCAAAAAAUGGGUGGGUCAGAUGAGCCAAGUUUAUAUAGUGUUUUGAGUUACAAAAAAGAAUAGUGGCAUGGGGCUUCUGCGGGCUGGUGGCAACACAAAUUAUGGGGAGGCGAGGGGAAGAAAUGUCCUAUUAUGGAGAUAAAAUCUCUCAGGAAGUAACAGUUGUCAGCUCUCUUCUUGACACAGAUACCUCACUAAAAAUGUAGAUUUCCGUUGUA
rnacentral:lncRNA from 1 species